rnacentral:rRNA from 1 species
CGGACGGGUGAGUAACGCGUGAGAAUCUGGCUUCGGGUCCGGGACAACCACUGGAAACGGUGGCUAAUACCGGAUGUGCCGAGAGGUGAAAGGUUAACUGCCUAGAGAUGAGCUCGCGUCUGAUUAGCUAGUUGGAAGUGUAUGGACUCCCAAGGCGACGAUCAGUAGCUGGUCUGAGAGGACGAUCAGCCACACUGGGACUGAGACACGGCCCAGACUCCUACGGGAGGCAGCAGUGGGGAAUUUUCCGCAAUGGGCGAAAGCCUGACGGAGCAAUACCGCGUGAGGGAGGAAGGCUCUUGGGUCGUAAACCUCUUUUCUCAGGGAAGAACACAAUGACGGUACCUGAGGAAUAAGCAUCGGCUAACUCCGUGCCAGCAGCCGCGGUAAUACGGAGGAUGCAAGCGUUAUCCGGAAUGAUUGGGCGUAAAGCGUCCGCAGGUGGCAAUGUAAGUCUGCUGUUAAAGAGUCUAGCUCAACUAGAUAAGAGCAGUGGAAACUACAUAGCUAGAGUACGUUCGGGGCAGAGGGAAUUCCUGGUGUAGCGGUGAAAUGCGUAGAGAUCAGGAAGAACACCAGUGGCGAAGGCGCUCUGCUAGGCCGUAACUGACACUGAGGGACGAAAGCUAGGGGAGCGAAUGGGAUUAGAUACCCCAGUAGUC